CCUACGGGAGGCAGCAGUGGGGAAUAUUGGACAAUGGGGGGAACCCUGAUCCAGCCAUGCCGCGUGUGUGAAGAAGGCCCUCGGGUUGUAAAGCACUUUCAGUGAGGAAGAACGCCUGGUGGUUAAUACCCAUCAGGAAAGACAUCACUCACAGAAGAAGCACCGGCUAACUCCGUGCCAGCAGCCGCGGUAAUACGGAGGGUGCGAGCGUUAAUCGGAAUUACUGGGCGUAAAGCGCGCGUAGGUGGCUUGAUAAGCCGGUUGUGAAAGCCCCGGGCUCAACCUGGGAACGGCAUCCGGAACUGUCAAGCUAGAGUGCAGGAGAGGAAGGUAGAAUUCCCGGUGUAGCGGUGAAAUGCGUAGAGAUCGGGAGGAAUACCAGUGGCGAAGGCGGCCUUCUGGACUGACACUGACACUGAGGUGCGAAAGCGUGGGUAGCAAACAGGAUUAGUUACCCUUGUAGUC
rnacentral:rRNA from 1 species